GAAAUGUGCUCGUGCGACGUGUGCUCUCGCUGCGCUGUGUAAUUCAGAAAACGGAGAAGGAACAUUAAUAUUCUGCUUUUAUUCAGUUAAUUCAGGUCAGUCCACCAGGGGUUUUUUUUUCUUUGCUCUGUAAUAUUG